CAAACGUCCUUACGGACACGUGUGGGCAAGUGAGUGGAGAGAGGAGAAGUGGCUUCGUCCUCUUCGUCUGGUUUCUUCUUUCUCUCUCUCAAAACGAGACCUCUCGCGAUCAAUUGCAAUUUGUUUGGUGCUAGUUUAUCAAUUUUGAUUUGUUUCUGGCCAUUGAUUCUUCGUUCUGUUUCUUGGAUGGGUCAAAUCCGUUUUGAUUUAUUCUGUGGAGACUGGAGAGAGACAUGAAGGGGGUUCAUCGAUACAAUUGCAAUAGAGUUCUGGAUGGUUUAAACGCCACAAGACUGAUCCGUUCCUAUGAAGAAUCAGGGAACUCAGAAGCUCUUUAUACAACGAGUUUAAAACAUCAAAAGGAGCUGUUGGCAUCAUCCUCGCCAAUAAACUUGUGAUGGGAAGAGUUGGAUUCAAUUUCCCAAUCUUUCUGACGUUGAUUCACUAUGCCGUUGCUUGGAGACUUCUAGCUUUUUUCAAAUCUCUCUCACUUCUUCCUAUGUCUCCUCCAUCAAAAAGCACAUCUUUCUCCUCUCUUUUCUCUCUUGGAGCUGUCAUGGCCUUUGCUUCUGGUCUCGCCAAUACCAGCCUCAAACACAACAGUGUUGGUUUCUACCAGAUGGCUAAGAUCGCUGUGACACCAACCAUCGUCCUUGCAGAGUUUGUACUCUUCAAGAAAACCAUUUCUUCCACAAAGGUUUUUGCUGGAUUUGCAAUCCUCGUCUCGGCUCUUCUUGAUUUUCUUCUCCAAUGGUCCGGUGCACUCGCGCUCGGGUUAAUCUUUUGGUUCGUUGCUUAGUCUUGAAGUGUAUUACUUUGCUUCUGCUUCACUUUUUUGUAUUCAUCAUCUAUGAUCAGAACAGAAACCACAUUUCACAUUUCUCAGUACAUGUAGCUUUCUUUCUAUAAUUUUUUGGUAGCCAUCACUGCAUUCAUAAUUUUUCAUAUAUAUUAGGGUCUGUUGACAAAAACAUCUGAUUUAUCUUAGGAUCUCUUUAUUACUUGUCAUACAAGUUUGUGCAAUUUAAUUUAUUAAGAAACAUCUAAAAGUCCUACCAAUAA